GCUGCCCAGACGUCUGCCCAGCUGUGAGCGUCUACUCAGCCUCUGCCACACUACUUUAACGCGUGUUUGACGGCAUUAUUUAGUUUUAUUUCUGUAUUUGUAUAUAGGUUCCACUUUCUUCUCUAUCUGAGGAGCAGUUGGAAACCUUAAUUAAGAAAUUGAGAAAAGCAAGUGAAGGUAAGUCUGCUAAAGUUGUGGGCUUAACUAUCUGAGAAGCACUGGGUGACUUAUGAGUUACUCCGUCCUGCCGUUCAGAGUCUCAGUUCAUGUCUCUCUGCUUAAGCUAUCAUGUUUCUUUUUGGCACAGGCUUGAACUCUACACAUGAAGAUCACAUUAUGUCCCAUCCAGCAUUACACGACGCCCUUAAUGACCCGAGAAAUGGUGAUUGUGCAGUCAAGCACCUGAAACAGCAGGUAUGUUUGGACACAAUCACUCAACGUUUCUUCAUAUGUUUAGUGCUAGCAUCCCAAGCUGAGGAGAUGGCUCACCAGAUAAAGGUGCUCGCUGCCAAGCCUAAUGGCCUGAGUUCAGUCAUCUGAAUCUUACAAAGUGUCCUCCGACUGCUACAUGCACACACAAGUGUGUAUGCUCACAAUAAAUAAAAGUAAUUUUUUAAAAGCUAACAUUCUAGUUAGGUAUGGUGGUAUAUACCUCUAAUCCAGAACUCAGUAGAUAGAGACAAGCAGAUCUGAGUUUGAGGCCAUCCUGGUCUACAGAGUGAGUUCUAGGACAGCCUGGGUUACAGAGAGAAACCUUGUCUUGAGAAAACAAUCAAAAAAAAAAAAAAAAA
rnacentral:lncRNA from 1 species